UUGACUACAAUUUAUGUGAAAUUAUUGUAUUUAUAUAAAUACCUAAUUGGUGUGUUUUUUUAAAGAUCGCAGAUUCUGCAUUUCUUGCAAAACAUUAACUCAUUCGCCGGAUCUUGAAAAAGUAUCAGAAAGGACAUUGAGUGGUUUUGGAACUUGGAAAUUCAAAACAAAUUUGACCGAAUUGAUUAAUUUUUGAAGAAAUUUGGAAUCAACUGUUAUUGUGAGACUCGUUGCCGGAAAAUUCUGCAAAGAAGGAAAUAUGAGGCAAUGCGGGGUUUUUCGGCAACAAAAAGAUGUUGCUAACAAUAUUCAGAUUAUAAAAUUAAUUUAAUUUUUAUAUUUAAAUAAAAGAUGCAAUUAUA